AGCGAACGCUGGCGGCGUGCCUAACACAUGCAAGUCGAACGUGAAAGGGAGCACUCCCAAGUAAAGUGGCGUACGGGUGAGUAACACGUAGGUAAUCUACCCCAGAAUCUGGAAUAACCGGCCGAAAGGCUGGCUAAUACUGGAUAGAGCGACGGAAUCCGUAAUUGGGUUUUUCGGGAAAGGGAGCCUGUAAAAAGGCCUUCGUUCUGGGAUGAGCCUGCGUCCCAUCAGCUAGUUGGUGAGGUAAAAGCUUACCGAGGCAAUGACGGGUAGCUGGUCUGAGAGGACGAUCAGCCACACUGGAACUGAAACACGGUCCAGACUCCUACGGGAGGCAGCAGUGGGGAAUCUUGCGCAAUGGACGAAAGUCUGACGCAGCAACGCCGCGUGAGUGAAGAAGGCCUUCGGGUUGUAAAGCUCUGUCGAGUGGGACGAAAAUGCUUGGAGUUAACAGCUCCAGGAACUGACGGUACCACUAAAGGAAGCACCGGCUAACUCCGUG
rnacentral:rRNA from 1 species